GGGUGGGAGAGGGGGCGGAGGUUCCGGGAGAACCAAGUCUCUGGGCACUCUUUGCUGACUCUCCAGCUUAGAAUCUCAAGCUUUGGGGCCUGAAAGGAAAGCUGUUUUUUAAGGCAUUCGACCUAAACCAAGUUUUAAAAGUAUCUUUAAGUAUUUCCUUUUUUUUUUUUUUUUUUAGGAUAAUGAAACCAUAGUUGCAACACCCAGAGCUUGGGCUUAGAAGCAACUUUGACAGGAUCUGUAGCUGUGAAAUUUGCAUCCCUGUAACACAGUAACUUAUCAUGACAAAGAUCUGUUGACGUCAAUUCCUUUAUUACUCUUAUUUGUAGGCCAAGGGAGGGACCCAGGGCCCUGAUAUUGUUGCCUUGGUGCUGUAAGGAUUGGAUCUGGGUCACUCUGACCUACAAAAUUGAUACAUGGCCCUGGAAUAACCUGCACAUUUUGAAGAGGAAGAAACAAAACAAUCGGUUACUAAAGGCUUGGCUGACUCCAGAUCGUGCAAUUUCACGGGCUCCCAGGAGAUGGCAGCCACUUUUUGGAAAACAGUCUUUAAAGAGCAUUGCUGGGUGACCGGUCGAGGGGCAGGACAUGCAGGAUGAUAGUCGCCUGCUGAAAAGGCACUUCUGACAGGCCAGGGUGCAGCACAGAGUCUGCCCAGAGAACCACGUGUGUUAGGAAGAGUGAUGUCCAACCUUGGCAGCUGCUGUGUUCCCAGGAGUAAAACAGAGAUUCUCGGCAUCAUCCUCAAAAGGACCCGUGGAGAUCGCUGCACGGAGUCAAUCACCUGACAAGUGCACCAAGAAUGCCCUGUGCCUGGAACUGGCUGCCGUGGAACCCACAGACGCGCAGCAUGGGGGAUCUGCCAGGAGGAGCCGUGCGGCUGCCCAGCUCAUCCCCACCCUCCAAGAGCCCACAGACGCGCAGCAUGGGGGCCCUGCCAGGAGGAGCCGUGGGGCUGCCCAGCUCAUCCCCACCCUCCAAGAGCCCACGUGCCUCUGCGCAUCAGCCACAGUCUGAGCUGGGCACAGAAUCGACUCGUGGCCUCUUCAGUUUCCUCAGUGGCUCUUUCUCGACCCCGCUUCUUAGAGCCAGGGUGGCAACUGAGAGCAAUGGCGAAACAGGUGAAAAUGGGGAGAAAGGGCAGCCAGCGCUGAGAUCCACACCCACUGGGAGCCUCCCCUGCUCUCCAGGUCCUGAUAAUUCAGAUGACAAAGCACUCAGCCAGUCAGCUCUAAUCCUGUAGCUGCACUGACUCUCUGUUUGUGACUUUAAAAUGAAAGCGAUCCUGUGUGUAUUGAUAACACCAGUGAGCCACUUUCAGAUUCUGAAUCAAAAUUGUCAGCUGUUUCUCAUCAGACUGUCGAUGGCACCUGCCGGUGAUGACACUGGUCAGGGGGCAGCCGCAACCUGGGUGAGAACAAGCUCCUGGGGGAUCCUCACGUGCAGCCCGGGAUGGGGACCACUACCAUAUGGGAAAACAAAGCUCGAUUAGUGCAUAUUCGACUUUACUUACAUUUUGAUUUAUUGUAUUUAUAAUUAUAGAGACAGUUAUCUGCUCCUUGGGAAGUAGAUUGAAGGAGAGAGAAGUAGAAAAAUAGUUACGCACAAUCUCAUUACCCAGAUAUGCCCACUGUUGAUAUUUUGUCAUAUUUCCUCCUGUGUUUUUAUUACUGGUUUUUUUUAAAGCAUAAUUGAAAUCAUACAGUAUAUAUGAUUUCGGAAACUUGAAAAAAUUUAACAACAUAAAAAUUUCCUCAUGCAUUAAACAAUUUUGUAAACACAAAA